GAUGAACGCUGGCGGCGUGCCUAAUACAUGCAAGUCGAACGAGUGGCGAACGGGUGAGUAACACGUGGGAAACCUACCCUUCAGCGGGGGAUAACCAUCGGAAACGAUGACUAAUACCGCAUACUGGAGGAUGGUUCCGCGGUGCAUUAGCUAGACGGUGGGGUAACGGCCUACCUCGGCAUUGAUGCAUAGCCGACCUGGGAGGCUGAUCAGCCACAUUGGAACUGAGACACGGCCCAGACUCCUACGGGAGGCAGCAGUAGAGAAUCUUCCGCAAUGGACGCAAGUCUGACGGAGCAACGCCACGUGUGUGAAGAAGGUCUUCGGAUCGUAAAGCUCUGUUAUCAGUAAAGCGGUAACUGAUCAGAAAGCCACGGCUAACUACGUGCCAGCAGCCGCGGUAAUUC
rnacentral:rRNA from 1 species